CACCCUUUCCGGAAGUGACGCACACUCGACGUCUUGAGUGAACCGCGCGGGGAAACUGAUGUGAAGUUUAUCCUGCAGGAAAGGGUCUUUGUGUCUCGAAAACUAACAAAUAAAGCCAAGAAUGUCUCGUUAAAACAUCUGCUCCAGUAAUAGAGAAUGUCCGUAACGCUGCAGUGUCCUGGUUAUCCUGAGGACACACUGCGCUCUCUGGCUGACAGGCUGCCCUGCAGGGAGGCACAGGUGACGUCACUGCUGUCACUCAUGGGACAGCCAGAUCAAUACAGUUAUCCUUCAUUCUUCAUCUAUGGUCACAGAGCAACAGGAAAAAGUCAUGUGGUGCUCACCAUCAUGAAAGAUCUGGAGCUCCCCCAUGCUUCAGUGGACUGUGUAGAGUGUGUGUCCGGUGGACUGCUGUUUCAGCAGGUGUUGUCUGCCUUUUUCGGGCCAGAUGCUGCAGCAUUGCUUCCUCGUUGCCCGUCUUUGUCAGAUUUUGUGCGACUGUACAAACAGAUGAGCUCCAGCACACCUGCUACACAGACACGCUAUAUAAUUCUGGACAGAGCCGAACGCAUGAGAGAUAUGGAUUUCAGCCUGCUUCCUGCUCUUCUGCGCCUACAGGAACUGGUAAAUGAUAAUGUGACCGUUAUCUUGCUCAGCGAAAUUGUGUGGGAAAAGUUUCGGCCCAACACUGGCUGCUUUGAACCUUUGCUCUUUCAUUUCCCAGACUACAGUAAAGCGGAGCUUGUGCAGAUUCUUUCUCGGGAUCAUCACCCAUCCUACACACCUGAGCUCUACUCUUCCUACAUAAACAUCCUGCUGGGGGUCUUCUUCUCAGUUUGCAGGGAUCUAAGAGAGCUCAGACACCUGGCUUUACUGAAUUUCUCCAAGUUUUGUGAACCCUUGGAGAAAGGAGAAGCUAAAGAGAGUGAUAUUCACAAGUUAUGGAAAAACAUUGAGCCCCAUCUGCACAGAGCCAUGCAGACAGUUUACCUCCGAGAGGUGUCCAGCGUGCAGUGGGAGCAGCAGCAGAUGGACGAGAAGGAGGCCAUGACCCUCAGAGGUUUAUCAGCACAUGCUCACAUAGAGCUGCCAUAUUACUCCAAGUUUCUGCUGAUCGCUGCGUACCUGGCGUCCUUCAACCCUGCCCGCACAGAUCGACGCUUCUUCCUCAAGAGUCAUGGGAAAAUAAGAAAGACUAAUUUCUUGAAGAAACAUGAGAAGACUAGUAACCAUCUGUUGGGACCGAAGCCUUUUCCUCUUGACAGGCUGUUGGCCAUAUUCUACAGUGUGGUUGAUAGCAGAGUUGCACCUACAGCCAGUAUCUUCUCACAGUUGUUUGCUUUCUGUUUUACAGAUUUCGUCUCUAGUUACUCUGCAGCUUCUCUCUCAGGUGGGGCAUGAUGACCAGCUGGACUCACCCAAAUACAAAUGUGCAGUUUCUCUGGACUUCAUUCUUGCAAUCUCCAGAACUGUAAGCUUCGAUGUGGUGAGGUAUCUGUAUGACUUCCUGUGAGCCUGCUGCAGUGGAUAUGAAGCAGGCAUCUGAAUUAAUCUGGAAUUACUUGAAUGGACUGCAGGAUAAAUUAUGUUACAGGAACUUCCUGCAUGUAUUAGUCCAAUCAGAAAAUACUCAGUUAAAACAAGAGACUCAUUCCUCCAAGAGAAAUUUGAUGGGUUUGGUGUGUUAUUGUGUAACACAACUUAAAAUUACUCUAAUAAAAACUGUAUAUUUUGUUA